ensembl:lncRNA
GACUGAUACAUCAAAGUGUUAGAAUGCCACUAAAUUGGGAUUAUUGAAGAUUAAGCACAUAUUUAAGACUUUAAAAGUUUGCUGUUGUUGUUGUUCAUAUGACAUUAAAGGCUGCGGUUAACCAGAAUGACAAAAUGCACGAAAGGGGAAUUCAUGUCUGGAAUUUACAUUCUUAUCGCGCAUGCGCAUUUACUCCCACGUAUAUUAAUGGCAGUAGAGUUUCGUUUUCAGAUGCCAUCCGAUUCGAACCACUUUACUUUGUGGCAUUAUUGGUAUUAUUUGUGAUUACUCAUAGAUGGACAGCACGGUUGUUAAAUCCUCCGAUAAGCAGCUAAAGUGCUAUUUGGGCUUCCUAAGUAAGUGUAUGACUGGGCAUUUGGUUCAAAGGAUGUCCAACUGUUUGUCCCGAUCCCGCACAAUCACGGCGUAUGAAGCACAGUUUAUCACAUCCCAGCCCACGGACAUGCAGAAAGCCUCCAGGCUGAUACAGAUUGUCAUUAAAAAAGGCCAAAAUGCAUGCAGUUCGUUCCUCACAUGCCUUGGGAUUUGUGACCCGGUGUUGUAUGAGAAUGUUACAGGAUUUCCAGCACAAUUUAAGCAAGAGGACCAUCAACAUGAAGAGGAAAUUCCUUUUUCAGAAAAAUUGCAAUUUACACCUUGUAUUAUAAACAUACAAAACUCUUCCCUGACCAACUGUAUUAUUGGGAACAACAAUAGCCAAUGCAUUACCUGUGACCAGCAUUAUUUGCUCACUCAGAAUGAUGCAAACAAUGUGAAUGAAAUGGCGGAAAGUCAGAGCCAUGAUCAGCUGAUCCCAGUGCAGGAGACAAUAAGUGGCAACAGCAUUCACAUGGAGAGAUCCAACAUAGAGUAUGUUAUUAUAGGUGACCAUAACAGUAUGACAGUCACUGAGAGCUCGGAGGCUGAGGAAGAUACAGAGAUUGAGCCUGAAGUGAUUAGUUAAAAGAUGUGAAAUAGUGGGCAGGAGGUCAGACCCACAGUUUUGGAGAGCUGCAGAUUGUCAACUCGCCUCAACAGGCCUGACCUAUGAUUGUACACUGGAAGCGUAAUAUAUGCUUUAAACUGACCUAUGCUCAGGUCUUCAGCAGGAGCUGCCAAGCACACUGAAACAUUAUCCUUUAUCGUGGAUUUUUCUAAACCUGUGUGCCUUGAGGUGGCAAUGAUAUUUGAUACUGCUUUAAUUGCUACUGAACAUGACUGCUACUGAAGGUUUUAAUGGGUAUGCCGAUAUUUAUUUGCUAAACAGAGAUGUAUGAAAGUAAAUGUGUUGACUGACACUGCAAUCAGUUGUUAUUCAGUCUUUUAUAAGCUUUCUGUAAAUAUACAUAAAUGUUGUUUACACAGGCUUGUGUCUUUUCAGUAAUAUUUGUAUAUUUAACUUAACUUCUAUAUAUAAAUUAAAUAUCUAUUGACACUGUGAUGGAUAUUCUCCUGAUGUUUCAUUAGUUAUUCUGUAAUAGCAGUGUAUUUCUGUAUUCUUUUUUUUAUUUCUAAUUAUUUUGUUCAUAUUACUAGAUGAUAAAACCUGUGAUGUACUGUACCGUCAUUUUAUGUAUUGAAUAAGACAUGUAGCUGACACGUGUGAUUUUGGAGUGAUAUUUUGAAAUAAAUGUGAAAUUUGAGUGUUCUCUCAGCUGAUGUAGGUGUCAAGACAAAAAUAUUACAAAAUGAAAAGCCUUUACUCUAAAUAAAUGUACAUCUUAAAAUAUUUAUUUAAUUCAUAGCAGUGUACCUACAUUUAGACGUGUAUUUUUAAACACUGUCUAUUUUAAACGUCCUUUGCGAAUUACAAAAUAAAAAAAACAGAAGAUGAUUUUU